rnacentral:rRNA from 1 species
AGAGUUUGAUCCUGGCUCAGGAUGAACGCUAGCGGCAGGCUUAACACAUGCAAGUCGAGGGGUAGAGGAAGCUUGCUUCCUUGAGACCGGCGCACGGGUGCGUAACGCGUAUGCAAUCUACCUUAUACAGGGGAUAGCCCAGAGAAAUUUGGAUUAAUACCCCAUAGUAUAAUUGAAUGGCAUCAUUUAAUUAUUAAAGUUCCAACGGUAUAAGAUGAGCAUGCGUCCCAUUAGCUAGUUGGUGUGGUAACGGCACACCAAGGCGACGAUGGGUAGGGGUCCUGAGAGGGAGAUCCCCCACACUGGUACUGAGACACGGACCAGACUCCUACGGGAGGCAGCAGUGAGGAAUAUUGGUCAAUGGGCGCAAGCCUGAACCAGCCAUGCCGCGUGCAGGAUGACGGUCCUAUGGAUUGUAAACUGCUUUUGUACAGGAAGAAACACUCCCUCGUGAGGGAGCUUGACGGUACUGUAAGAAUAAGGAUCGGCUAACUCCGUG